AACCAGGUCAGCAGUGUUAAAAACCAGGUCAGUGGUGUAAUUAACCAGGUCAGCAGUGUUAAUAACCAGGUCAGUGGUGUAAUUAACCAGGUCAGCAGUGUUAAUAACCAGGUUGGUGGUGUAUUAACC